rnacentral:rRNA from 1 species
ACGCCGUAAACGAUGAUAACUGGGUUUGUAGCCUACGGGUUGCGAGCCUGAGCGAAAGCGUUAAGUUAUCCACCUGGGGAGUACGUUCGCAAGUAUGAAACUCAAAGGAAUUGACGGGGGCCCGCACAAGCGGAGGAACAUGUGGUUUAAUUCGAUGAUACGCGAGGAACCUUACCCGGGUUCAAAUGUUGGUUGCAUGGAGCAGAGAUGUUCCUUCCUAGCAAUAGGCCACCAGCAAGGUGCUGCAUGGUUGUCGUCAGCUCGUGCCGUGAGGUGUCGGGUCAAGUCCCAUAACGAGCGCAACCCUUGCCUCCAGUUACCAGCGGUUCAAGCCGGGGACUCAGGAGGGACUGCCGCCGUAAGGCGUGAGGAAGGGGGGGAUGACGUCAAAUCAGCACGGCCCUUACAUCCGGGGCGACACACGUGUUACAAUGGUCGGUACAGAGGGAUGCCAGGCGGCGACGCCGAGCGGAUCUCAAAAGCCGGCCGUAGUUCGGAUCGGAGUCUGCAACUCGACUCCGUGAAGCUGGAUUCGCUAGUAAUCGCAUAUCAGCCAUGAUGCGGUGAAUACGUUCCCGGGCCUUGUACACACCGCCCGUCAAGCCAUGGAAGCCGAGGGUACCUGAAGUCCGUAACCGCGAGGAGCGGCCUAGGGUAAAAUUGGUGACUGGGGCU